GAUGUGCAGUCUUGUUGGGGCUACCUGAGGCCUGGCUCCCCACUGCAAGGCUGGAUCGAAGGCAUGGCUGACCUGGCCUUCGGGUCUGCUGUCAUCCCAGUUCCUGGCGGCGGCCUGUAGGGAGGUCCACAUGGG